AUCGCUUCCAUGCCUUUUGGCUAAGAUCAAGUGCAGUAUCCGUUCUAAUCAGUUUAAUAUCCGAUGCGUCCUCUAUACGAGGACUACAUAUUCAAUUGAUUUUUAGAACAGGGAGACGGCAGUGGAGCUUGCUUCUCCGUGCCAUACAUCGACCUGGUAUUGCAGUACCUCCAGGACUGGUGCACCUCCU